rnacentral:rRNA from 1 species
GACGAACGCUGGCGGCGUGCUUAACACAUGCAAGUCGAACGGAAAGGCUCCAGCUUGCUGGAGUACUCGAGUGGCGAACGGGUGAGUAACACGUGGGUAAUCUGCCCUGCACUCUGGGAUAAGCCUGGGAAACUGGGUCUAAUAAUGGAUAUGACCUUUCUCCUUAUGGGGUUUGGUGGAAAGUUUUUCGGUGUAGGAUGAGCUCGCGGCCUAUCAGCUUGUUGGUGGGGUGAUGGCCUACCAAGGCGACGACGGGUAGCCGGCCUGAGAGGGUGAUCGGCCACAUUGGGACUGAGAUACGGCCCAGACUCCUACGGGAGGCAGCAGUGGGGAAUAUUGCACAAUGGGCGGAAGCCUGAUGCAGCGACGCCGCGUGAGGGAUGACGGCCUUCGGGUUGUAAACCUCUUUCAGCAGGGACGAAGCGUAAGUGACGGUACCUGCAGAAGAAGCACCGGCUAACUAUGUG